rnacentral:misc_RNA from 1 species
AACGUGCCACGCCCACAUCAGCAAACAAGCAGGCACUUCUGCACACCCGUGUACACACCUCUCUAUUCUUUGAGCAUAUGUUUUUCUUCUCUCCCACUUGCCAGACACAAACAAGUCAAAAAAAAACAAGCCCGCAUCCACGCUCAUUCUGUUUUCCGUCUGCUGACUACCGCUGUGGGCGCAGCUCCUCGCCCCUUUUCGUUCGUUUCUGGCGUCAUCAAGUUGGUUUGCUAUCGUCUCUCUCAGUGUUAUCGUUUGACUUUUCGUCUUGCCUACCGUUCAACUGCCCUCUCUUCCUCUCGGGAUUGCUUCCCCAAUCACACACACACACACACACACACACACACACACACACACACGAAUCUGCGAUACCCGCGCAUUCCGAUCGUAGUUAUCCACAGGGGGAAGGGGGACCAGGACCGUAGGAAGACAAACAGGCAAGUGGAUAAAAAUCGAAAGACAGAAGACACGCAAACAAUAACAGUGCACGCGGUGCUACAGCACUUACGCAACAUGUGUGCGUGUGUGUGCGUGUGUGCCUACUACGGGGGUUGUACCGCAACCCAGGAAGUCCGCGCAGGCAGAAAAAGCUUGUCACCAUUGCCCGCGGCGCCUAGUUCGAUGGGGGAAGGGACACCGCUCUCAUUCGAUUCUACAGUGAGAGGAAGAAGGCCAUCUUUUUGGUAGUUUCUGCUGCGCUCUCCAUCUCCCUUUAUUUUAACUGGCUUGACGGAAAGGGGGACGGACUGCCAUCAGCGCUGUGCUGAUAGUUUCGACUAGUGUACCCAUAUACCUACUCCUUUGCGUACCUGUCUCCCUCGAUGACGGUAGGCUACAUCGCCACCCUUUCGCGUCUUG